rnacentral:rRNA from 1 species
GACGAACGCUGGCGGCGUGCCUAAUACAUGCAAGUAGAACGCUGAAGGAGGAGCUUGCUUCUCUGGAUGAGUUGCGAACGGGUGAGUAACGCGUAGGUAACCUGCCUGGUAGCGGGGGAUAACUAUUGGAAACGAUAGCUAAUACCGCAUAAGAGUAGAUGUUGCAUGACAUUUGCUUAAAAGGUGCAAUUGCAUCACUACCAGAUGGACCUGCGUUGUAUUAGCUAGUUGGUGGGGUAACGGCUCACCAAGGCGACGAUACAUAGCCGACCUGAGAGGGUGAUCGGCCACACUGGGACUGAGACACGGCCCAGACUCCUACGGGAGGCAGCAGUAGGGAAUCUUCGGCAAUAGACGGAAGUCUGACCGAGCAACGCCGCGUGAGUGAAGAAGGUUUUCGGAUCGUAAAGCUCUGUUGUAAGAGAAGAACGAGUGUGAGAGUGGAAAGUUCACACUGUGACGGUAUCUUACCAGGAAGGGACGGCUAACUACGUG